rnacentral:rRNA from 1 species
GACGGAGGGUGCAACCGUUGUUCGGAAUUACUGGGCGUAAAGCGUGUGUAGGCGGCCACGUAAGUCGGAUGUGAAAGCCCCGGGCUCAACCCGGGAAGUGCACUCGAUACUGCGUGGCUUGAGUAUCGGAGAGGUUGGUGGAAUUCUCGGUGUAGAGGUGAAAUUCGUAGAUAUCGAGAGGAACACCCGUGGCGAAGGCGGCCCCCUGGGCCGAAACUGACGCUGAGGCGCGAAGGCUAGGGGAGCGAACGGG